GAUGAACGCUGGCGGCGUGCCUAAUACAUGCAAGUCGAGCGAACGGACGAUAAUCUUGCUUCUCUGAUGUUAGCGUCGGACGGGUGUGUAACACGUGUAUAACCUACCUAUAAUACUGGUAUAACUUCGGGAAACCGUAGCUAAUACCGUAUAAUAUUUUGAACCGCAUGGUUCAAUAGUGAAAGUCGGUCUUGCUGUCUCUUAUAGAUGGAUCCGCGCUGCAUUAGCUAGUUGGUAAGGUAACGGCUUACCAAGGCAACGAUGCAUAGCCGACCUGAGAGGGUGAUCGGCGACACUGGAACUGAGACACGGUCCAGACUCCUACGGGAGGCAGCAGUAGGGAAUAGGCCGAAAUGGGGGAAAGCAUGACGGAGCAAAGCCGAGUGAGGGAUGAAGGUCUGCGGAUCGUAAAAAACUGUUAUGAGGGAAGAAAAUAUGUGUAAGAAAAUGUGCACAGAGUGACGGUAACUAAUCAGAAAGCCACGGCUAACUACGUG
rnacentral:rRNA from 1 species